GACAGAGGGUGCAAACGUUGUUCGGAAUUACUGGGCGUAAAGCGCGUGUAGGCUGCUCCGCAAGUCGGGUGUGAAAACCCUGGGCUCAACCUAGGAAGUGCACUCGAAACUGCGGAGCUGGAGUCCUGGAGAGGAAGGCGGAAUUCUCGGUGUAGAGGUGAAAUUCGUAGAUAUCGAGAGGAACACCGGUGGCGAAGGCGGCCUUCUGGACAGUGACUGACGCUGAGACGCGAAAGCGUGGGGAGCAAACAGG
rnacentral:rRNA from 1 species